rnacentral:lncRNA from 1 species
GCUUCAAAUCUAUAAAUAGGCCCAAAUUUUUAAAAAGGGGCAUGGUGGUGGUGAAUAUAUGUGUGUAAAGAAACAGUAACUGAAUACUUAAAUACUGAGCAACAAAGAAAGUAAGUGUGAAGAACUAAAAACCAUUAUUAUACCAAAGGCUAUAUGAGUUAGAUUCACCUGUAUUUCAGGAGAAGGCUAAGAAGGAACAAACAUAUGUGAAUGCUCCCUUUCAGAAAAGUGGCCAUAUUACCAUGAAGAACACUUAAAAUAAAGGUUUCUUCAGGGACGUCCUCCUUAGCCUCCUUCCUCUUCCUUAGCCUCCCACUAGCUUGAGUCAUUCUUCUAAGGCUUUCCUUCACAGCAUUGAUCACAAUUGCAAUUAUUUGAGUAAUAGGCAAUAUUUAUCUACCCCAACUAGACUGUAUCUCCAGGAGGACAGGGAGUUUAUCAUCAAUGAAAUGAGCCGCCAGCACCUAGCAUAAGGCAGCCAAUUCUUGUUGGACUUGUAAAUGAAUGAAGGAGCACUUUGGAAGUCAAAAGUUAACCAUGGGGAAGUAGUCACUUGAAAAUGUUUCAUCAACAAAAUGUGUAUUCCCAUGCUCGAAAUCUGAAAGUAGAAGCUUUUAGGAGUUCUACUUUUUCCACAGACUAAUAAGAGGCAGGAAGAGCAUAAGAAAAAGAGAAUACUCACUGGUGGUGGCUUCUUUCUCAUCUCAAAUGUGCGUGUGGCACCAAAACUUAGUGAAGCAAUAAUGGGGCACCUCCCUAGUGAGGGUUCAUCAUCACUGUGCCAGUCCACGCUGUCCUUCUCAUUGCGAUAAAGAUUGCAGAGUAAGGAGUUGAAGGUGUGGCCAGUGUUCUCUUCAAUGCGGUUCUUUAGUGUGCGCAGCACAGGGUGCCACUGCAAUCCACAGACCAAGAAAAGGGCAAGACAGUCGCAUUACACACAAAAUGACAGCCGCAUGGAAAAACAGAAAAGAAAGGGCAAAAUCAGCCAAGUUAUAACCAGGGCAUGUAAUAAGCAAACCACAUGGAAUGCAAUAAACAGAAGGCAAGAAAAGUAGUUUAAUUCCCUCCCAUCAUUUCUAUUUUGAAGCAAGUUGAUCUCUGCAAUUUUAUAAAAGUACUAAAUUUAGUACAGCAAUAUCAUGAGGACCAGAAUCUAUCUAACCAUCUCAUCCUUUCCAUGUCAAAUACAUGGCCUUUGCCAUGUAUUUUCAUCAGUAUCUUCAGGGCAGUGACCUUGGUAAGUCAUUAAGGUGGUAAGUGGAGCAGCAAAGCCGAUAUGUCACUAGGUAGUCAGCAGACCCAGACUGAAGCCUGAAGAGUGAAACAACUUUCCUGCUGGGUGGCCCUCUGUUCGUUCUAUUCCUAUUUUAUCCUGAUGGGGAGAAGUGCUUUUUAAAAAUGAUCUUUAAUAUUUCCAGAGUGGCUAACUUCCAAAAAACAUAACCUAAAGAGUAAAAACAUUCUUUUCUAAAGAAUGAGAAUCAUGAUAUGCUCUUGACAAGUAUAUGAGCCAUCAACUACAGAAGACUUAAACAGGUUCCACGGCCCUGCCUCCUGGGCACUGGGUUCACUGAUGUAAUUCAUAUUUGGAACUGUCUUGCCAUGUAUAUUACAGGAAGCUAUGACCCCUGACCUUAGAUUGUACUUGGGAGCUACAAACAACAUAGCUUAUAUUGGUUCUUGCUAGAAUGCUUUUCUCCCAGAAAUCUCGAGUACUUUACAAAGCUUCCUUUAGAACAGUGGUUCUCAAAUUUUACAUGAGAAAUUAUUGAGGAGCCCAAAGAACUUUUGUUUAUAUGGGUUACAGCCGUCAGUUUUUAUGAUAUUUAAAAUUAAAACUAAAAAAAUUUUCAACUACUGGUUAAUUCAUUUAAAAUGCAAGGACAGGCCAGGCAACAUGGCUCACACCUGUAAUCCCAGUACUUUGGGAGGCCGAGGCGGGUGGAUCACGAGGUCGGGAGUUCAAGACCAGCCUGGCCAAUAUGGUGAAACCCUGUCUCUACUAAAAAUACAAAAAUCAGCUGGGCAUGGUGGCAUGCGCCUGU